rnacentral:rRNA from 1 species
UACAGAAGGGGCGAGCGUUGUUCGGAAUUACUGGGCGUAAAGGGCGCGUAGGCGGCCUGUUAAGUCGGACGUGAAAUCCCCGGGCUCAACCCGGGAACUGCGUCCGAUACUGGCAGGCUUGAAUCCGGGAGAGGGAUGUGGAAUUCCAGGUGUAGCGGUGAAAUGCGUAGAUAUCUGGAGGAACACCGGUGGCGAAGGCGGCAUCCUGGACCGGCAUUGACGCUGAGGCGCGAAAGCCAGGGGAGCAAACGGG